UUUGGCCCUUUUCUGUAUAUUAAUAGUGCGACAAUUAGCUUUCAAGUUAAUGAUAGUGCAGCUGGAACAUUUUUGACAUACUCUGGUAUAACAAAAUUUCAUUAGUUGGUGAAACCAUUUAGUACAGAUGGAUUUAGGGGUGGAUCUAGAGGGGCGGGAUGGUGUUCACUAGAAACCCCUCGGUAAAAAAAUACACUGUAUGUAACGUUCUAUGUUUUGAAGAGGAUCUUGCUACAGAAGAAACUACUACUACUGUAAUAUUGUUGGAUCAAACAUUUCAAUACUCAAUAUUCCUCCUAUAUAAUUUCCUCAUAUUCCUCCAAUGAAUUGCCUGCCUACAAAAGCUGAUUUCAUUGAAGCCAAACAUGUUCAUGAACAGCUGUGUUCAAUGAUCAAGAGGAACUGGAUUGGUUUGCUCUAGUUUUUAUCCUCAUUUAUUGUUUCAACUCUUGGUUUUGUUAAUUUAGCGUUGGUCAUCAAGGCUGUUUACGGGGGUAGCAAUGAAUCCAAUAUAUGAACUGGCCAAUGCAAAUAUAAUGAAUUGCAGGAAACCAUUGAUUCUUAAUAUAAUGAACUGCAGAAAACCAUUAAUUACUGUGAACAACUCUUUUAUGCUGCACGGACAGCUUGAAGUUAGACUAGCUUCUUGCAGAUCUUGCAUUUCAGUUAGUGCGUUGAAAGUUGACAUUAAGGAUUUUGUAGCCUUCCCCUCCUAUCAAUUUCUUGUUGGUACAUAAAUGUUCAUGUAGAUGAAAAAAGUUACACCCA